UAUCAGCAGAGAGUGAACGGGUUGUAGUGUAGCUUUGUCCCUCUGCUGCCUGUGGACUGAUCUCUAUGUGUCUCUAUGUAGGAUGAGGGUCAAAGGUUGUGACCUUUAUGCUCCCGAGUGCCAACAGUGGGCAACACAGAGUCCAACACAGAGUCCACAACACAGAGUCCAACACAGAGUCCACAACACAGAGUCCAACACAGAGUCCAACACAGAGUCCAACACAGAGUCCACAACACAGAGUCCACAACACAGAUCCCAACACAGAGUCCAACACAGAGUCCAACACAGAGUCCAACACAGAGUCCACAACAUAGAGUCCACAACACAGAGUCCACAACACAGAGUCCAACACAGAGUCCACAACACAGAGUCCACAACACAGAGUCCACAACACAGAGUCUACAACACAGAUCCCAACACAGAGUCCAACACAGAGUCCAACACAGAGUCCACAACACA